CCCCCUAAAUUUAAGCAUAUUAAUUAGGGGAGGAAAAGAAACUAACAAGGAUUUUCUAAGAAGCGGCGAGCGAAAAGAAAAUAGUUCACUAGGUCACUUUGUCUUUAUGGCAAAUGUGAGAUGCAGUGUAUGGAGCAUCAAUAUUCUAGUAUGAGAAAUUAACGAUUUAAGUUGAAAAGAACUCUGAAUAGAGAGUUAAAUAGUACGUGAAACUGCUUAGAGGUUAAGCCCGAUGAACCUGAAUAUUCAUUAUGGAAAAUUCAUUAUUAGAGUUUUAAUAUUUUAAUAAUAUUAUAAUAAUAGUGUGCAUUUUUUCCAUAUAAGGACAUUGUAGUCUAUUAACAUAAACCAAAUUUAUCAUAAAAUAUGACUUAUAGUUUAUUUAAAUUAUUUUGCUUGCAUUUUAACAUAGAAUAAAUGUCAUUAAUUUGAUAAAGUGUUGAUAGAUUUAUAUGAAUAUAGUGCGUUAAUUUUUCGGAAUUAUAUAAUAGCAUGAUUAUCAUUGAUUUUCUGUGUUUUUUAUAUGCACUUUUAUGAUUAACAAUGCGAAAGAUUCAGGAUACCUUCGGGACCCGUCUUGAAACACGGACCAAGGAGUCUAACAUAUGUGCAAGUUAUUGGGAUAUAAACCUAAUAGCAUAAUUAACUUGACUAAUAAUGGGAUUAGUUUUUUAACUAUUUAUAGAUAAUUAACACAAUCCCGGGGCGUUCUAUAUAGUUAUGUAUAAUGAUAUUUAUAUUAUUUAUACCUCUAACUGGAACGUACCUUGAGCAUAUAUGCUGUGACCCGAAAGAUGGUGAACUAUACUUGAUCAGGUUGAAGUCAGGGGAAACCCUGAUGGAAGACCGAAACAGUUCUGACGUGCAAAUCGAUUGUCAGAAUUGAGUAUAGGGGCGAAAGACCAAUCGAACCAUCUAGUAGCCAACUUCCUUCCGAAGUUUCCCUCAGGAUAGCUGGUGCAUUUAAAUGUUAUAUAAAAUAAUCUUAUCGAGUAAAGCGAAUGAUUAGAGGCCUUAGGGUCGAAACGAUCUUAACCUAUUCUCAAACUUUAAAUGGGUAAGAACCUUAACUUUCUUGAUAUGAAGUUUAAGGUUAUGAUAUAUUGUGCCCAGUGGGCCACUUUUGGUAAGCAGAACUGGCGCUGUGGGAUGAACCAAACGUAAUGUUACGGUGCCCAAAUUAACAACUCAUACAGAAACCAUGAAAGGAGUUGGUUGCUUAAAACAGCAGGACGGUGAUCAUGGAAGUCGAAAUCCGCUAAGGAGUGUGUAACAACUCACCUGCCGAAGCAACUAGCCCUUAAAAUGGAUGGCGCUUAAGUUGUAUACCUAUAAAUUACCGCUAAAGUAGAUGAUUUAUAUUAUUUAUAAUAUAAAUUUUGAAACUUUAGUGAGUAGGAAGGUACAAUGGUGUGCUUAGAAGUGUUUGGCGUAAGCCUGCCCAUGCAGGCCAUCCAUAGCCGCCAUUGGUACAGAUCUUGGUGGUAGUGGCAAAUAAUCGAAUGAGACCUUGGAGGACUGAAGUGGAGAAGGGUUUCGUGUGAACAGUGGUUGAUCACGAGUUAGUCGGUCCUAAGUUCAAGGCGAAAGCCGAAAAUUUUCAAGUUUUAAAAAUGUCAAAUGAAAUAAUAAAUAAUAAAACACUUCAAUAAUUUUGAACGAAAGGGAAUACGGUUCCAAUUCCGUAACCUGUUGAGUAUCCGUUUGUUAUUAAAUAUGGGCCUCGUCCUCAUCCUGGCAACAGGAACGACCAUAAAGAAGCCGUCGAGAGGUAUCGGAAGAGUUUUCUUUUCUGUUUUAUAGCCCUACUACCAUGGAAGUCUUUCGCAGAGAGAUAUGGUAGAUGGGCUAGAAGAGCAUGACAUAUACUUUUGUGUCGAUAUUUUCUCCUCGGACCUUGAAAAUUUAUGGUGGGGAUACGCAAACUUCUCAACAGGCCGUACCAAUAUCCGCAGCUGGUCUCCAAGGUGAAGAGUCUCUAGUC
rnacentral:ncRNA from 1 species